CCUAACACAUGCAAGUCGAACGAGCGAGAGAGAGCUUGCUUUCUCAAGCGAGUGGCGAACGGGUGAGUAACGCGUGAGGAACCUGCCUCAAAGAGGGGGACAACAGUUGGAAACGACUGCUAAUACCGCAUAAGCCCACGGCUCGGCAUCGAGCAGAGGGAAAAGGAGCAAUCCGCUUUGAGAUGGCCUCGCGUCCGAUUAGCUAGUUGGUGAGGUAACGGCCCACCAAGGCGACGAUCGGUAGCCGGACUGAGAGGUUGAACGGCCACAUUGGGACUGAGACACGGCCCAGACUCCUACGGGAGGCAGCAGUGGGGAAUAUUGCACAAUGGGGGAAACCCUGAUGCAGCGACGCCGCGUGGAGGAAGAAGGUCUUCGGAUUGUAAACUCCUGUUGUUGAGGAAGAUAAUGACGGUACUCAACAAGGAAGUGACGGCUAACUACGUGCCAGCAGCCGCGGUAAAACGUAGGUCACAAGCGUUGUCCGGAAUUACUGGGUGUAAAGGGAGCGCAGGCGGGAAGACAAGUUGGAAGUGAAAUCCAUGGGCUCAACCCAUGAACUGCUUUCAAAACUGUUUUUCUUGAGUAGUGCAGAGGUAGGCGGAAUUCCCGGUGUAGCGGUGGAAUGCGUAGAUAUCGGGAGGAACACCAGUGGCGAAGGCGGCCUACUGGGCACCAACUGACGCUGAGGCUCGAAAGUGUGGGUAGCAA
rnacentral:rRNA from 1 species